GUUCCGAAGAACCGGUCAAUGGACAGACAGACACAGAGAGAGAGAGACAGAGAAAGAGACAGAGAAAGAGAAAGAGAAAGAGAAAGAGAGGGAGACAGACUCCGUCAGU
rnacentral:ribozyme from 1 species